AGAACGAACGCUGGCGGCAUGCCUAAUACAUGCAAGUCGAACGAACUCUUCGGAGUUAGUGGCGCACGGGUGCGUAACGCGUGGGAAUCUGCCCCUUGGUUCGGAAUAACAGUUGGAAACGACUGCUAAUACCGGAUGAUGACGAAAGUCCAAAGAUUUAUCGCCAAGGGAUGAGCCCGCGUAGGAUUAGCUAGUUGGUGAGGUAAAGGCUCACCAAGGCAACGAUCCUUAGCUGGUCUGAGAGGAUGAUCAGCCACACUGGGACUGAGACACGGCCAGACUCCGUACGGGAGCAGCAGUAGGGAAUAUUGGACAAUGGGACGAAAGCCUAGAUCCAGCAAUGCCGCGUGAGUGAUGAAGUCCGUUAGGUUGUAAAC
rnacentral:rRNA from 1 species